AAGGACUGUGCUCCCAAUCCGCUUACGCUCAAGGAAGAACUGAUGAGGAAAUGGAGGCACAGACUGAUUAGAAAACCAGCUCAAGGUCAUGUUGCUGGGCUCUCUGGUGGAGCCUCUGUCUCACAGGUCACCUGCAGGCCAACACUCCCAGAAGCAGCUAGCACCAUGGUUGACCUCGUCCAGGUCCAGGGAAGGCCUCCCUCUCCAGGACUCCUUUAGAUUUCCCCAGCAUCCAGACCUCACCUGCCUAAGUGCUGUUGCCCUGGAAGCCACAGUGAGCACGAGCUCCAUCUUGCACCUUUACCAGCCAAUGGGGGUAAAGACAUUAGCUGGGUUACUCAGGCUGAAAUGCUCAAGACACUCUGUCUCAAGGGAUUUGUGGCUGUUUCAUCCUCAAGUAUAGGGGGAAUAGUGGCCAGGAAGAUCUCAGAGGUGGCUUCUGGAAGAGGAAUCUGGGUACUGGCUACCCUGCCUUGUGUCCCAUCAUUGGUCUGUCUUGCCUGUCUUGGAGCACAUUUCUCACCAAGCCAGGCAUGGUGGCGGGAGCCUGUAAUCUCAGCU
rnacentral:lncRNA from 10 species